UACGGAGGAGGCAAGCGUUAUCCGGAAUGAUUGGGCGUAAAGCGUCCGCAGGUGGCAAUGUAAGUCUGCUGUCAAAGCGUCUGGCUCAACCAGAUAAAGGCAGUGGAAACUACAUAGCUAGAGUAAGGUAGGGGUAGAGGGAAUUCCUGGUGUAGCGGUGAAAUGCGUAGAGAUCAGGAAGAACACCGGUGGCGAAAGCGCUCUGCUGGACCUUAACUGACGCUGAGGAGCGAAAGCGUGGGGAGCGAACAGG
rnacentral:rRNA from 1 species